ensembl:lncRNA
AUGAUAGGGGGGGAGGGGAGGGAGGAGAGAGGGAGGAGAGAGAGAGGGAGGGGGAGGGAGGGAGGGAGGGAGGGAGGAGAGGAGAGAGGAGAGAGAGAGGGAGGGGGAGGGGGGGGGGGAGGGAGGAGAGAGAGAGGGAGGGGGAGGGAGGAGAGGGAGAGGGAGGGAGGAGAGGAGAGAGAGAGGGAGGAGAGAGGGAGGGAGGAGAGAGAGAGGGAGGGAGGGGGGAGGAGAGAGAGAGGGAGGGGGAGGGAGGGAGGAGAGAGGGAGGAGAGAGAGAGGGAGGGGGAGGGAGGGGGGAGGGAGGAGAGAGAGAGAGAGGGAGGGGGAGGGAGGGGGGAGGGAGGAGAGAGAGAGGAGAGAGAGAGGGAGGAGGGAGGGAGGGAGGAGAGGAGGGAGGAGAGAGAGAGGGAGGGGGAGGGAGGGGAGGAGAGGGGGGGAGGAGAGAGAGAGGGAGGGGGAGGAGAGGGAGGGAGGAGAGAGAGAGGGGGAGGGGGAGGGGAGGAGAGAGAGGAGGGAGGGGGAGGGAGGGAGGGAGGAGAGAGAGAGGAGAGAGGAGAGGGAGGGGGAGGGAGGGAGGAGAGAGAGAGGAGAGAGAGAGGAGGGAGGGGGAGGAGGAGAGAGAGGGAGGAGAGGAGGAGAGGGGAGGAGAGAGAGGGAGGGAGGGGGAGGAGAGGAGGGAGAGAGAGGGAGGAGGGAGGAGAGAGGAGAGGGAGAGCGAGGGAGAGAGGAGAGAGAGAGGGAGGGAGGGGAGGGAGGAGGAGAGAGGAGAGGAGGGGGAGGGAGGAGAGGGAGGAGAGAGAGGAGGAGGGGAGAGAGGGAGGGGGAGGGAGGGAGGAGAGAGGGAGGAGAGAGGGAGGGAGAGGGAGGGGAGGGAGGAGAGAGGGAGGAGAGAGAGAGGGAGGGAGGGAGGGAGGAGAGGGAGGGAGGAGAGAGAGAGGGAGGGGGGAGGAGGAGGAGAGGGAGGGAGGAGAGAGAGAGGGAGGAGGGAGAGGAGGAGGAGAGAGGAGAGGGAGGGGGAGGAGAGGAGGAUGGGAGAGAGAGAGGAGAGAGAGGGAGGGGGAGGAGGGAGGGAGGGAGGAGAGGAGGAGGGGGAGGGAGGAGGAGGAGAGGGAGGAGAGAGAGAGGGAGGGAGGAGAGGGAGGGAGGAGAGAGAGAGGGAGGGGGAGGAGGAGAGGGAGGGAGGAGAGAGGAGGGAGGAGAGGGAGGGAGGAGAGAGGGAGGAGAGGAGAGAGAGAGGGAGGGGGAGGGAGGAGGGAGGAGAGAGAGAGGAGGGAGGGGGAGGGAGGGAGGGAGGAGAGAGAGGAGGGAGAGAGAGAGGGAGGAGGAGAGGGAGGGAGGGGAGGAGAGGGAGGGAGGAGGAGAGGAGAGAGAGAGGGAGGAGAGAGAGAGGGAGGGAGAGGGAGAGGGAGAGAGAGGAGAGGGAGGGAGGGGAGGAGAGAGAGAGAGGGAGGGGGAGGGAGGGAGGGAGGAGAGAGAGAGGAGAGAGAGAGAGGGAGGGGGGAGGGAGGGAGGGAGGAGAGAGAGAGGGAGGGGGAGGGAGGAGAGAGAGAGGGAGGGAGGGGGAGGAGAGGGAGGGAGGAGAGAGAGAGGGAGGGAGAGGGAGGAGAGAGGGAGGGAGAGGGAGGGAGGAGAGGGAGGAGAGAGAGAGGGAGGGAGAGGGAGGGAGGAGAGGGAGAAGAGAGAGAGAGGGAGGGAGGGAGGGAGGAGAGAGAAAGGGAGGGGGGAGGGAGGGAGGAGAGAGAGAGGGAGGGAGGGAGGAGAGGAGAGAGAGAGGGAGGAGAGAGAGAGGGAGAGGGAGGGGAGGGAGGAGGAGAGAGAGGGAGAGGGAGGGAGGAGAGAGAGAGGGAGGGGGAGGGAGGGAGGGAGAGAGGGAGAGGGAGGAGAGAGAGAGAUGGAGAGGGAGGGAGGGAGGAGAGAGAGAGAGGGAGGAGAGAGGGAGAGGGAGGGAGGAGAGGAGAGAGGAGAGGAGAGGAGAGAGGGAGAGGAGAGAGAGCAAGGGAGGGGGGAGGGAGGAGAGAGGGAGGAGAGGAGAGGGAGGGAGGGAGGAGAGAGGGAGAGGGAGGGAGGAGAGGAGAGAGGGAGGAGAGGAGAGAGGGAGGAGAGGGAGGGAGGGAGGAGAGAGCAAGGGAGGGGGGAGGGAGGAGAGAGGGAGGAGAGGAGAGGAGGAGAGGAGAGGAGGAGGAGGGGAGUUUUAUUUUGAAAAUCUUUCUCCUCAUAGGUGACGCUUCCGGUUUGUAUUUCCUGUCAAUCAAUCAAUCAAUCAAUCAAUCAAUCUUUAUUUAUCAGCUGUUACAAUCCAGAGACCCUCUCCAGAAUCCCAGCUGGUUCUGA